rnacentral:rRNA from 2 species
CUAAUACAUGCUAGUCGAAGCGAACUGAUUAAGGAAAGCUUGCUUCUAUGACGUUAGCGGCGGACGGGUGAGUAACACGUGGGCAACCUGCCUGUAAGACUGGGAUAACUUCGGGAAACCGAAGCUAAUACCGGAUAGGAUCUUCUCCUUCAUGGGAGAUGAUUGAAAGAUGGUUUCGGCUAUCACUUACAGAUGGGCCCGCGGUGCAUUAGCUAGUUGGUGAGGUAACGGCUCACCAAGGCAACGAUGCAUAGCCGACCUGAGAGGGUGAUCGGCCACACUGGGACUGAGACACGGCCCAGACUCCUACGGGAGGCAGCAGUAGGGAAUCUUCCGCAAUGGACGAAAGUCUGACGGAGCAACGCCGCGUGAGUGAUGAAGGCUUUCGGGUCGUAAAACUCUGUUGUUAGGGAAGAACAAGUACGAGAGUAACUGCUCGUACCUUGACGGUACCUAACCAGAAAGCCACGGCUAACUACGUGCCAGCAGCCGCGGUAAUACGUAGGUGGCAAGCGUUAUCCGGAAUUAUUGGGCGUAAAGCGCGCGCAGGCGGUUUCUUAAGUCUGAUGUGAAAGCCCACGGCUCAACCGUGGAGGGUCAUUGGAAACUGGGGAACUUGAGUGCAGAAGAGAAAAGCGGAAUUCCACGUGUAGCGGUGAAAUGCGUAGAGAUGUGGAGGAACACCAGUGGCGAAGGCGGCUUUUUGGUCUGUAACUGACGCUGAGGCGCGAAAGC